AGGAGAGAGGAGAGAGAGAGAGAGAGAUUGUCGCAGCUGAGGCUUGGAACACUCCUCGGUACAUGGUACAACAACGAAUGCGUGUGGCUGUCACUUCAUUGGAAUGGAUUGUGGAAUAUCUUGUGUUAACCCUUGCCUGGGUAUGUUGUACGGUAACUCCUGCAAGAAGGUAUUUCUGUGACAGGUCACUUUCGCUGAUAACUCGUAUAUGGACGGAUUCAACGGAUAAGAACUUCGUCGACGGUUAUUUUGAAGUAACGGCCUUUUCUCUACGUUUCACACUGGAUUACAAAUAUCUCUCCCCCAUCAUUUAUUCCCAUGAUUACUGAAUUUCCUACUUUACCAUCUCAAGACUCUAAGCUGUGUUCCCUCAGGCUCGAUAGUUUGGGAGUUAUAUUUACAUAUAUACACACAUAACACUGUUAAGUUUCCUUUAUUUCGUUGUUAUUAUAAGUAGAUCCUAAUAAAGAAGUGGUUUUAACAUCAAAACUAGACUCCAGUGUGCACUCUAUUGCUGCUGGUUCGUUUCUAAAACGUUACAGAUCGUAACACAGCUUCAUAAAACUAGUUAGGCGACAUCUGGAGUAUUUCAUACAGUUCUGGUCGCACCCAUUCUCGGAAGGAUGUCGGGGCUUUGGAGAGGGCGCAGAAGAGGUUUACCAGGAUACUGCCUGGAUGAGAGGCAUGAGCUAUAACGAGAGAAUGAACAAACGUGUUGUUUACUCCAGAGCAGCGCAGGCUGGGGUGAGACUGGAUGGGGCGUUUAUAAGGUUACCAGAGGAAUAGAUAGAGUGGACGGAUGAUAUAUUUUUCCUGGUGGUUCAAAUGUCUAAUACAUUUAGGGUGAGAGGAGAUGUGAGUGGCAAGUAAUGGAUAGCUGGAUAUAUGAUAUAUAUAAUGAUAUAUAUAAGGAUAGCCCGGGGGGGGGGAGGUCACGUGAUACAAUUUGCCCCUCCCAUUUAACUGCCGAUGAGCAGCAUCUGUGCGUCGCUUCCGAGGCCCCGCCCUCCGGAUGAUGCGCCAAUCACUUUGCGCAUGCUCACAGUCUCCAGGCGGGCGCCGUUCCGCGGAUUCGGGAUCACUGUCUGCGGGCCGAAGAUAUCACUUUCCCACCGUUAGACCUGGGGUGAGAGAUUUAUUGGAAGAAAAAACCUCAAUGGAACUAAACCACGACUGAAGAUGAGGGAACUGCAACAAGUGAACCAGCCCGAGGAUUGUGAGCAUUAACUGGAGAGAAACCAUCUGACUUGUAGAUUCCAGUGAUUCAGUCAGGAGAAAGUUUGGAUACAGGCACGAGUCAGAGCAAACAGCUCAACCUUCUGGACGAGACGGCUGCUUCAAAAGAGUCCUGCUCAAUUACUUCACUGUCGGUUACUAUCGCAUCGCCAGAAUAUUGUUUCCCUGCUGGAUCCACAAAAGGGCUUCCAUUCUCAUAAAAUGUUGCCUUGUGCUUGAGGGGAUAUUGCAGAGUGGAUGAGAGAGUCUGUCCUUCUUUCAUGGUAAUCCAGAUGGGGGGCAGUUUUAGAAAUUAACAAGCAAGGCCAAUUUCAUGGUCUGAAAUUGCGUUCGGUCAAUAUUAAAAAAGUGUCUUACCAGAUGUCCUGUCUUCACCUGAGUCCUUCCAGUAUCAGAGUUGGCAUGCGGCCAAGUCUGACCAGCCUCCCUUGGUGCUGGAGGCUUGUUUCAUCAGGGUGUAGGCAAGGAACCCUAGGCCCUUUGGCAUGAACCCUGGGCAAACCCUCACGGUGGUAUGGGGAACCACCUGUCCUGUCUGCCGCCAAAGGAAAUCCGGAACUUCGGCCAGUAUUGCCGAAUACUCUCUUCCUUUAACCGUUCUAAUGUGACUGGGAACUUUGUCCCUAGAGGGGUGCAUAAUUCUGGCUUUUCUCAAUCCCCCUGAAAUUCCACCUGUAGUGGCUGUGUAUGUGAAUACGUGCGUUCCGUGCCUUCGAACCCAGACAGAGUGAUUGUCAUGUUUGAUAGCUGGAAUCCAUUUUCUGAUAUUACUUCCUGAUUGAGAGUGGUUGUGGUUGCCGGCAUAUCAAUCAUAAACGGAAUUGGAAUUCCAGCAACUUGCAAUGUUCCGUUGGGCUCUUCCUGAGGGGUGGUACUCACGGCAGGAAGCAUUCUUGCUUGUUAAUUUGAAAACGGGUUGUUGUCCCCACCUGUCCCUUGGUAGGUUUUUGUUCCCAUUUCUGAUCCCCAGAUAUAGCCCUCUCGCGUCCUUCUUCCCACUGAACAUCUUCACCUUUAAUAUUAGUUCCCUUCAGGGUUGAUUGGGAUUUGAAAGUCAGGUCCCAACAAUAUGUCAAAGCUCGUCACAUUUGAUUUUGGUCAUUGUCAGGCCAAUCCAUAUUAUUUGUUUUAAUCAUGUUGGCUAACUUAGUUGGUAAGUAUUGGAGCAGCAGGGAGUUAAACUGGGGGGACAGAUUCCCAUCUUUAAAGGCUUGGUCAGAAGUUGUUCAGACCUCAGAUGGAGUCAACAAUCAAAUGGCUGAGCAUGGUGCGAUGAAUGUGCUGAGCUGUGUAUAUUACAAAGCAAGAAGCAUCGUAGGAAAACCAGAUGAGCUCAAGGCAGGGAAUUACGAUAUUGUAGCCAUUAUUGGGACAUUGUGCCCAGUAGUCUGAGGGAUUUAGAGGAACAUAUUUUUAAGGAGAUCGCAGACCAUGACAAGAAACAAAGGUUGAUGCAGUAAGUGAUUUUAACUUUCCAUAUAUUGACUGGGACUCCCAUACCGUAAAUGGACUAGAUGGGGUAAAGUUUGUCAAAUGUGCGCUUAAUCAGUGCGUAGGAUUCCCGACAUAGAAGUGUGCAAUAAGUUGUUAGGAAAUGAUCCAGGGCUGAUGACAGAAAUUAGUGAUCAUAAUGCCAUGAGAUUCAAAAGUAAAUAUGGAAAAAGAGAGGUCUGGACCAUGGAUUGAUAUUCUAAAUUGGAGAAAGGUCAAUUUUGAUGGUAUCAGAAAGGAUCUGACAAGUGUGGUUUGCGACAGGCUGUUUUGUGGCCAAAGAGUACUUGUAAGUGGGAGGCCUUCAGAAGUGAAAUUUUGAGGGUGUUGAGUUUGUAUGUGCCUGUCAAAAUAAAAGUUGAAAGGUAACCAGUGCAGGGAUCCUUGCUUUUCUAGAGAAAUUGAGUCCCUAGGUAUUUGAUUCUCCUAAAUGCCUCAGACUGUUGGGUGCUACCAAGACUCAUUAAUGACUACAAAUCAUAAUUCCAUGCAAGCUCAUCUGACUUUUUUUAGUCAUCUUCUGGUGGUUUCUAAAAGCUUCCCAAUAGUUUUUGCUCUUUUGUUUGCCCUCUCUUUGUUUUUUUAUGAUGGCUUUGGCUUCUCAUUUCAAUCAUUUCAGGUUGUGUCCUCCUACCUUUCCGUUGCUUCCACU